rnacentral:rRNA from 1 species
AUACGGAGGAUGCGAGCGUUAUCCGGAUUUAUUGGGUUUAAAGGGAGCGUAGGUGGGAUAUUAAGUCAGCUGUGAAAGUUUGGGGCUCAACCUUAAAAUUGCAGUUGAUACUGGUUUCCUUGAGUACGGUACAGGUGGGCGGAAUUCGUGGUGUAGCGGUGAAAUGCUUAGAUAUCACGAAGAACUCCGAUCGCGAAGGCAGCUCACCGGGCCGGAACUGACACUGAUGCUCGAAAGUGCGGGUAUCAAACAGGAUUAGAUACCCUGGUAGUCCGCACAGUAAACGAUGAAUACUCGCUGUUUGCGAUACACUGUAAGCGGCCAAGCGAAAGCGUCAAGUAUUCCACCUGGGGAGUACGCCGGCAACGGUGAAACUCAAAGGAAUUGACGGGG